ACACACACACACACACACACACACACGUAUGCAUGUAUAAAGUGACAGUAAGAAUCAGAGGACAAAAGGAAGUGUUUGGAUGGCGAGUAAAGCUGUAGUGAAUGUAGCAUGGAUGCUAAGGAAGUUCCGAUGGACAAAGAUGGUUUGGCAGAGGGGAAGAAGAGUGGAAUGUUUACAAUGACUUUGCUUGUUAAGUGUUUACGCGGCUAAUGGGCGGAUCAGAAUGAAGGCACUUGUAAAUAGAGCCACGCACAUCCAGAGCGAGAUGACCCCCACCCCCACCCCCCGCCAGGUGGACUCCAUGGGAGGAAUCAAAGUGUCGCUCCGGGCUUUGCCGUUAUCUUGCACGGUUUCCACAGUAACCACAUCCACCCCAAGACAUGGAGGGAGGGGAUUUCUUCAGCAUGUGUAGCCAGCCACCUUACCUGUGGAUUCUAGAACAGUGUUUCUCAAAGCGUGAGCAGUCAACCACUAGUGGUCCUUAAGAAGAAUCUCACGUGGUCCAUAGGUAACUUUAAUCUCGCUCUGUUAUAGCUAAUUAGGUUUCUCAUCUCCACCAUGACUGCCAUGGCAAUUGAAAAAUGUCCACUGUGGCUUGAAGCAGAGCUGCCAGGAACGUGUAAACAUAGUGAAGCGCUAAUCCUGCCUUGAUCCGUCCGUAACAUACCUCAACCCUAACACUAAACCCUCAACCCUAGGGUUAUAACAUCACUUUACCUGAACCUUCACUCCUAAUUCUAAUCCUUUUAUUUAAACCCUACCUGGCCCCGGGCCCUAAAGAUAUCCGAACCCUAAACCAAACACUAACACUGAAGUCCUAAACCUAAUCCUAAUCCUGCACAAGAGAACAUCAACUCACCCCAACACUAGCACUAACACUCAUUUGACCCUAACCAUACUUUUAACCCUAAACGCCGAACCCUCACCCCUUACCCUAGACUUUUUAAGAUACUGAAAAAUAUAGACCACAAGCAGGUGCCAACUACAUAAACGUACAGCCAUUCAUAGUGUCCAGGUGUGCUGUUUUCCACACCGCAAACAAUCUUAUCCAUGUGCAGAGUUGAUGAUAUGAGCCCAGUUUAGAAGCAACACAAGUGCAGCACCGUCCAUCUUCUGGACAAUUUGUUUACUGUAAUAAUCUGCUCGGUGACGAUGUUGUGCAACAGUCGUGUCAUGGGAAAUGACAAGUGCGAUCUGUCAUCGUGAAAUGAGAACCACUCGAUUUGUUUUGCUUGAAUGAAGCAAACUUUGUAACGUU